rnacentral:rRNA from 1 species
GGCAGACGGGUGAGUAACGCGUGGGAAUUUACCAAGAGGUACGGGACAACUACUGGAAACGGUGGCUAAUACCGUAUGAGCCGAUUUUGAUUCAUUUUGAGAUCGGGAAAGAUUUAUCGCCUUUUGAUGAGCCCGCGUUGGAUUAGGUAGUUGGUGGGGUAAAAGCCUACCAAGCCUACGAUCCAUAGCUGUUCUGAGAGGAAGAUCAGCCACACUGGGACUGAGACACGGCCCAG